AUAACAUUAUUUUUGUGCAGCCAAUCUAACUACGAACGAGCUGGACAAGGUAUUGGUGUUGGACAAGACCUAGUGAACAACCCUGAUUUAGUAGCCACAGAUCCUAUAAUAUCAUUCAAAACAGCAAUAUGGUUCUGGAUGACAGCACAGGAUAAUAAGCCAUCAUGCCACAACGUUAUCAUUGGGCAAUGGACGCCAUCCGCCGCAGAUACGGCAGCUAAUAGAGUGCCAGGGUACGGUGUCAUUACCAACAUCAUUAACGGUGGACUUGAAUGUGGGAUGGGUCAGAAUACUGCAGUGGAUAGUCGAAUUGGAUUUUACAGGAGGUAUUGUGGUAUGCUGAAUGUUCCCACUGGUGAAAACUUGGACUGCAACAAUCAAAGGAACUUCGCCCAGGGCUAAGCGUCGUUACAUAUAUAGAAUGCAAAUUAUGUUAUGUAUUACUAUUACUCAUGGAGAUUGUUCAGUCUAUAAGUUAUAUUUGGAUGUAAUGAAUAAAGGGAUUCUCUGUGCCCAUUUAGAAUAGGGAGAUAUAUUUGUCUUCUUAAAAAUUAAAGGACCACAUAUCCUACAUAAUAUGUGGUGCUUGAGUGAGGCUGCUGCAUUUAAGAAAAAUAAAAGUUAUAUGAUUUAUGUUGUAGAUUUAGUGGGCGUUUGAUCAUAUAUUAUUGUGAAUUUUUUUUUUGAAAAUAAUUUAUUUUAAAAGUGAAAUAUUAUUUUGAAAAUUGAAGUAGUUCUUUUUUAGUUUUGAUGAGUAAUUUGGAGUGAAAAAAAAUGAAAACACUUUUAUUUUAUUUUCAAAUUAAGUUGAUUGACGACUAAAUAUGUUUUCCCGAAUUCAACUCCAGUCAUGGUCAAACCUCAUGGAUUCCAGCUUUGAAUCUUAUUCUUAACGUUGAUCAUUUCUGUCAUGUUAUAAGAAUUGUUCAGGGUCAAACCAAGUGAUGUUAGAUCAAGGAAAAAAUUAGCAACUGCGACAUAUCCUAUUUAAAAUAAUUGGGCACCCAUAUCGGAUAGGUAAAAACCAAUAUUUUCUAAUACAUACAAAAAAAGAGAAUAAAUUAUGCAAGGACUUCUGUGAUCAAGAAGCUAUAAAUUAGACUCUAUAAAAGUUAAAUAAGACAAAACAAAGUACGAAAAUAUGGAGGCCUACGAAGGAGAGGGAAAUGGUUAUGACUUAAUCUUGAAGGAAAGAUCAAUUCAUUUGACUAAUUAAUCAGGGGAAAAACUGGAUCAAUUUUUGUUUUUUUAGUAUUCACAUUGAGAUCUAACUAAAUUUGUAUUUGUAUAUUGCAAUGUUUAGAAAAGCUCCUAACAUGAGUUUUUGACCUUUGAUUAAAGAUGCAUGAAUUUUAAUUAUUUCACCACAAUUCAUGUCGAUGAAAAUUAAAUUUGUCAAUUCAUGACUAUCUUUACUAUUUCUGUUAAAUUAAAGGGGAAAUGGUCAAAUAUGCCCCUAAAUUAUUCGAAAAGGUCUAGAUAUACCCUCCGUUUAAAGUUUGGCUCACUCAUGUCCUCGCCGUCCAACUUUUCGAAUAGAUAUGCCCUUAUGGGCGUUAGUUGGUCUGUUGGACAUAUCCAACUCAUUUUUCAUUUCUUUAAAUGUUACAUAGAAUUGUCAUGUCAUUUUCACCUUACCACAUGCAUUUAUAUGAAAAUGGAAAUGAUCAAUUAUGCCCCUAAAAAAUUCGGACUCAUACACCUAAUCCAACCCAUAAAUCAACCCUCUUUUAAAUAAACUAUCCGACCCGUUUUCAACAAUUUUGUUUAAUUUUUAUUUUUUUCGAUAAAUCCCGAAAAUGACUAAUUGAUUAAUAAAAAAUAGAAAAAAUAUGAAAAAACAUAAACUUAACGCCAACAAUUUAGAAAUAAAUAUAUUAACCUUAAAUUCAACAAUUUCAAUAAUUUUUUAAAUUUUUAUUUUUUCGGUAAAAUCCUGAAAAUGAGUAAUUGAUUAAUAAAAAUAUGAAAAGUAUGAGAAAAAUAUAAAAUUUAACGCCAAAAAUUCACAAAUAAAUAUAGUAACCUUAAAUUUAACAGUUUCUUUUAAUUUUUAUUUUUUUCGGUAAAUCCCAAAAUGAGUAAUUUAUUAAUAAAAAAGGAAAAAUAUGAAAAAAAUAUAUAAAAUUUACUUCAAAAAUUCACAAAUAAAUAUAGUAACCUCAAAUUCAACCAUUUCAACAAUUUUUUUAUUUUUUUAUUUUUUUUGGUAAAUCCCGAAAAUGAGUAAUUGAUUAAUUAAAAAUAUGAAAAAAUAUAUAAAAUUAACGCCAAAAUUCACAAAUAAAUAUACUAAUCUUGAAUUCAAUUUUUUUUUAAUUUUAUAUUUUUUUCAUAUUUUUCUUAUUUUUUAUUAAUCAUUACUCAUUUUCGAGAUUUACCGAAAAAAAUAAAAAUUAAAAAAAAUUUAUUGAAAUUUUUGAAUUUAAGGUUACAAUAUUUAUUUUUGAAUUUUUGGCGUUAAUUUUAUAUUUUUUUUCAUAUUUUUUAUUAAUCAAUUACUCAUUUUCGGGAUUUACCGAUGGAAAAAAAAAUUUAAAAAAAUUGUUGAAAUUGUUGAAUUUAAGGUUACUGUAUUUAUUUGUGAUUUUUUUGCAUUAAUGUUAUAUUUUUUUCAUACUUUUCAUAUAUUUUAUUAAUCAAUUACUCAUUUUCGGGAUGUACCAAAAAAAAUAAAAAUUUUAUAAAUUUUUUGAAAUUGUUGAAUUAAAGUUACAAUAUUUAUUUGUGAAUUUUUGGUGUUAAUUUUAUAUUAUUUUUUUUCAAAUUCCUAUUUUUUAUUAAUCAAUUACUCAUUUUCGGGAUUUAUCGAAAAAAAUAAAAAUUUAAACAAAAUUGUUGAAAACGGGUAGGUAGUUUAUUUAAAAGAGGGGUUGAUUUAUGGGUUGGAUUAGGUGUUUAUGGGUCCGAAUUUUUUAGGGGCAUAAUUGAUCCCUUUCCAUUUUCAUAUAAAUGUCAUGUGGUAAAGUCAAAAUGACAUGACAAUUCCAUGUGACAUUUAAAGAAAUUGAAAAUAAGCUAGAUAUGUCCAGCAGACCAACUAACGCACAUAAGGUCAUAUCUAUGCGAAAAGUUGGACGACGAAGAAAUGAGUGAGCCAAACUUUAAAUGGGGGAGGGGGGGGGGUUAUAUCUAGACCUUUUCGAAUAGUUUAGGGGAAUAUUUGACCCUUUUCCCUUUAAACUAUUUUUUCCUAUUCAUGCAACCCAAAUUUUAUGACUAUGUUCCAAAUUAGCAUUGACAAAAUUCAGCUCAACUCGUUUAUUUGAAACCACUAUAGGUAAUGGUUUUCACUUGAAUGUGCGCGGAAAAUAUAGCUCCCAAGACUUGACUUUUAUCGAUGAAGGAAAAAAAAAACUUGACGUAUACUAGAAUUUACUUCAAUUUGAAAAGUCUUGUACCGACUUCAUUACGUAGCCAACUUUGAUAUUCCAGAACUCGACAAUUUGUAACAAAUAGGGAUUCAGUAGAUUUUGGUUUACAAGAUAAACUCACUUUAAUUUCACCACUAAGUCACCACCAAUAUUUGAUUGUAAUUUUGAUAUAUAUUUUUUUGAGUUAAUAUCUUAAAAAAUCAUUAAACGGGAAUUUAUCUUGUAAAGUAUAAAUUCUGAUAGUUCAAUUAACUCAUAUUAUUUUCGUAUCUACCUCUUGUCAAUAAUACUCCACAGACCAUGGCUAAGCACCAUCCAUGGAUGCAAUACGUGAGAAAGAAAUGUUGGAGAAGAAGAGAGCAAUUUGGGAAAAAUCUCUUAACUGAUUUUCAUUAUGAGAAGAACAUAUAUUUAUACAAUGAAGGAACACUAAAUCUAACUAACAAUUGAACUGACAUAUUAACGGAACACUAACAGUAAACUAACUAUCGUGACUAAUUAAUCUGACAAGACUAACUAACUAAUUAGACUAGUACAUAAUUAACUGAAUCACAAUACCUCUUCUAGGUUACUAUAGGUGAAAGAAAAUUGUGUAUCUAAGUUUGUUUCGGCCAUUUAUGAUGACACACGUACAUGACCGAAACAAAGAAGCAAACUACUACAAUUUUGUUGAAAUCAGUGGAAAAGUGUAUGCUCACCUUAAAUUUGAUCUCUAUAAAUACCCACCUAUAUACAUAACUAAUUCAGUAAACACUAGCUCAUAAAGCAUAAGAAAGAACAGAGAGAAACAAAAAAUGGAGUUUUUGGGAUCACAAAUGGUAUUAUGUUGUGUCUUUUGGUUGUUCCUAACAGGAAGCUUGGCACAAGAUGUUGGUACAAUUGUGACAAGUGACUUGUUCAACGAGAUGCUCAAGAAUCGAAACGAUGAUAGAUGCCCUGCCAAGGGCUUCUACACUUAUGAUGCAUUCAUAGGUGCAGCCAAUUCGUUUUCAGGUUUUGGUACUACUGGUGAUGAUACUGCCCGUAAGAAGGAAAUUGCUGCCUUUUUCGGUCAAACUUCUCACGAAACUACUGGUAAUUUUGGCUCUUCCACCUAACUACUGUUAUUUGUUCAACAUAUAAGUAUACAAAAUUAGAUUGACCGUUAAUUGUAAUCAGAGGUGUAUCCAGGAUUUUGAGGUUCUAGGUGCCAUACGCUUUGAACAGUAGCUUGGUUCCAAUAUUAACAUAAUUGUACAUAGAUCUGCCCCUGAUUGUAACACAAGUGUCUAGUUAAGAAAUGGAUUUACGUUAUAUACACUAGAAUAAUAAGUGAAGUAUUUGGGUCUAAUUUUGCAGGUGGUAGCCUAAGUGCAGAUGGUCCAUUUGCCGGAGGAUAUUGCUUUCUUAGGGAAGGCAACCAAGUGGGAAGUGGAUUUUAUGGCAGAGGACCUAUCCAAUUGACAGGGUACGUAAAACAGAGGAAAAUACUUCAUGUCAUAACUAGGAAAUCUUAGAUGAAAAAAACACAAUAUGUAACUAAUUUAUUGAUGAUAAAAUGAAUUUUGCAGGCAAUCUAACUAUGACUUAGCUGGGCAAGCAAUUGGACAAGACCUAGUUAACAACCCUGACUUAGUAGCCACAGAUGCAACUGUAUCUUUUAAAACAGCAAUAUGGUUCUGGAUGACGGCACAAGGCAAUAAGCCAUCAUGCCACGACGUUAUCACAGGGCAAUGGACGCCAUCAGCAGCCGAUACAUC
rnacentral:lncRNA from 1 species